AGGUCACAGCGUUUAGACAGUUCACGACGAAGAAAGAGAUAGAAGGUAUAAUUUCUUUGGUAAUAUUCUUCUUAAUAAAUAUGCUAGCAGUACAUGGAAGAUGUUUUAAAAUCUCUAAAAGGGACUUGUCCUUAUUUAUUGCACAGUGUGCAAUAUGAAGUCUUUAAAGUGCCUAUGACACGAAAUUUCACCCCAAAGGUUUAUGAUUGCAUUAUAAAGAUCACUUAAAAUGACUUAAUAAUUUCUUUUAUAGAAUUUUGGUAACUUGCUUCCUUUUCAAGAUAUUCAUCUUUGUUUCAUAUGCAAAUAUCACCGGUGUGACAUCACAUCACAUAAUGAGUUUUCAGAAAAGUAUAUUUUCCUUGACGAAUACGUAUCUAAAAAACUUAAAAAUUGCCCUUGUAUAUGUGUUAAUUUCAUAACUGGUAAUUAACCCUCUGUACGUGUCUGUAAAAAUAUUUUAUCAAGGUAAAAUAUUGCGUUUUCAAAAUGUCAUUAUGCGAUGUUAUGUCACACCGGUGAUAUUUGCAUAUGAAACAAAGCUGGAUAUCUUGCAAAGGAAGCAAAUUACCAAAAUUAUAGUAAGCCCUCUAGAUGAGCAUUAUAUGCUCUUAGGGCAAACUAUAUCGUUAAAUAAAUAUUUAUUAAAUCAAGUUACCAAAAUUCUAUAAAAGAAAUUAUUAAGUCAUUUUAAGUGAUCUUUACAAUGCAAUCAUAAACAUUUGGGGUUAAAUUUCGUGUCAUAGGCACUUUAAAAAAACUCACGAGUGUAGCCUCCUCGUAGUUCUGCAACGUUAUUAACCAUAAAAGAUUUAUCAGGAACGUAGAAAAUACAAGGAAAUACUAGUUCUGAAAUACGAUAUGAUAUUAAUAGACACUGGAGCCCCAUUACUUCCUACAUUAUCCACAAGCCUCCCUAUUUUUACGCUCCAGUGUUUAUUAUAAAUAUCACAUCGUAUUUCAGAACUAGUAUUUCCUUGUAUUUUCUACGUUCCUGAUAAAUCUUUUAUGGUUAAUAACGUUGCAGAACUACACAGUUGCCUGCGGAGGAGGCUAUCACGAGUGCAUGUUUUUCUAAAUUGCACGAGAAACCAUACUAUUACUUGUUACUGAACUAGAUGUUACUAUCGCAAGGGAAGUGCUGCUUUAGGACCAAAGCUCUGGGGAUUGAUUAUACCAUUAAACUUCGUUUAUCUAAAUUGUCUUAUACAUACACUGUAUGUAUGAAUUUAUUUUGUUUAAAAAAUAUCAAAAUUAAUAUAUAUUCAAACACACUCAUGCAAAUGGGUCACAUUUAAUUCAAAUUCUAGUUAGUCAUGACUUAAAUAAGGACAGGGAUUCAGACUUGUGCACAAUACUUCGCAACUUUAGUUCACAUCUUAAGUAAGUUGUGACUUGUUUUCUUUCGUAUAAAUGGCCCAAUUAUUCUAAUUUCACAAUUUUUGAGAAUUCUACCGGGUGUCCCAAAAAAAAAGUACUCCGGUUUGAUUCGUAAUAACUUCUAAACAAGUAAAGCUUUUAAAGAGAAAUAUUCAAACGUGCAUCAAAUAGAGGAAGGACUGACUUAGAUUUUGAUAUAUUACAGUUGUAUUUCACUUAAAAAUUCACGGAGAUAUUAAUGUUUAAAAUCGGGAGCAUAUUCUGGAUGUGUCUGAAAUAUGCAAAAAAACGGCGUAUCAAAUAUUAAUCAAGAUUUACCCGACUGAAACAUGCACUAUUACCAGUAAAUAAAUGACACUUGACAAAUUGUUUAUUAUGAAACAAAGUAUUAUUAUCUACAAAAUACAAGCAAGAUUUAUUCGUCCGAAAUCCGCGUGUGUUCCUAGCACGAAUACGUUUCCUUAUUUCAUGAGACCACUGCAUCGCGAAGGAUCGUCAUGGAUCGUUCGUAGUUCUGAAUUAGGGCAUGCUGUCUAACUUCUGCAACGUUCUGAAAUCUUGUUAAGAACACCCAAACUCUUUUGCCUUUUCUUAAUCUUGGCAAGUUCAGAAUAAACUGAGAAUGAAACACAAUCAAACCAUACAACUCCAUAAGACAUAACAAGCAACUCCCCAGAGACAUCCAACAUUUUUGGAACAAAACGUAACAAAAUAAGUAGCGUUGAUACUGUGAUGUGUAUUUGCAAAAAGCAAUAUUAUUUCCUUCAUUAAAGACUAAUAUUCAUCCUGCUCUAACCGAGAAAUAAUCAACUCUGUUUUGAACCCAUGAAAAACAUUAAAAAAUUAGGCUAUUUAAGAAAAAUUUAAGCGCCCGCCUUGCAUGGUCUUUCAUGUACCUUUAAGUUUGUAAAGACCUAUUGAAUACUUGCAUAAUUUCGAACGUUUAUAUUUCAGGAAACAAUUAGCUAAGACUUACAUGUAAGAUGUUUAAAUCUACGCCAUAUCCCUUACAAAGCCAAACAACAAUUUGCUGAAAUACAAGUUAGCCUGAUAUGUCAUUAAGCAAACAAACGCUGGAGUUAAUAUUUGAUAUGCCGAUUUUCGCUAAUUUUAGACACAUCCCAAAAUAUGCUCCCGAUUUUGAACAUUAAUAUCUCCGUGAAUUUUUAAGUAAAAUACAACUGUAAUAUAUCAAAAUCUAAGUUAGUCCUUCCUCUAUUUAAUGCAAGUUAUUUCUGUUUGAUAGCUUUACUUUAAGUUAUUAGAAAUCAAACCGGAGUACUUUUUUUUGGGACACCCGAUAUUAUUAAAUAAACAAUAGUUCCGCAAACAUGCACUAAAAAUUAAAUUUAUUAAAAAUAUAUAUUUGUGCAUAAAUAAUGAAUUUGCCAGGGUUGUUGCGAGUACAGAUAGAAGAUGUACAGCUUUUAAAAAUACUCUAUUCAUAUUGUUGUAGUUCAUUGUAUAGAACCAUUAAAAUAUAUUCAUUUGGUACCAGUUAAAACAGUAUAACAGAUAAAGAUCCGAUGCGAAUAUUUUAACGUACUUAAAAACGACCCAUCUUAUGAGUUCAUUGGCGAAGUAAUUUCAAAAACAAACAUUGUCUGAGCCGAGAAAAUCAAAGCUGAAGUUUAUGAAGAAAAUUUAUAAUUUGCUACUAUCUGCCGCCAUUUUUUAUUUUUCCUGCCUCGUUUUCAGGCUCUGCUCUUGUUUUGUUAAUUGCACUGUAAUUAUUUCAUCUAUAUUACUAGGUUCCGCAACUGAACAGUUCAGUGGCUGUGAACUGGAUUUCUGACCGUUUGAGAGUUCUUAUGGGAAAUAUGUGUGUAUAUAUAUUAUAUGUGUACGUGUCAAGUAUUGGCUAGUUCAAACGUCGCGCUUAUCAUGUGUCGAGCCUUAUGUUUAGACCUGCACUCGUUUGAACUAUUGGGGGUUUCCAACAAUCGAUACCUUGCAGUAAAAUGAAUACAGCUAAUUCAAAAAACGUUGUUCUUUGCAAACCUUAAACUCUAAACGUGCAAAGCAUAAUGGGAGCUGCAUUUAAUCUGUUCAGAAAUCAUAUAUGGGUACCCGGACAUUUUGCCGAAAGACAUUUUGCCGAACGGACAUUUUGCCGACGGUCAUUUUGCCGAACGGACAUUUGCCGAACGGACAGUUUGCCGAAAGGACAACUUGCCGAAAAUAAUAUAAAGAUGUUAUUUCGUCAAAAUUUUGGGACUGUGACUCAAUUCUCAACUGUCUAAUUCUCAACGAUUGUGUAAAAUAACCAUUAUAUGGUCAUUAGCAGUGCAUAAUGGUUAGUAGUGCAUAAC
rnacentral:lncRNA from 1 species